CAAAGGAAGAUGAAAUGACAGAGCGAUUGAAGUCAUUGCGAGAGAGAUCGAGCUUCUGAAGAUGAUGAAGGGAGAAGAGAGUGCUGUUAGAAUGGAGGGUGCCAUAAAGCAUGCUGCAACCAAGGUCUAGGCCAAUUACAUGGCCAGUUUUCAUGUUGCAUGUCACGCCAUCCCAAGAGCAGCAAUCUGUACCCUCUUUCCACAGCACUCUCUUGGGUGGAUAACAUGGAAAUCCAUAUGGUGAAGAAGGCAUGGGAAAGGAGUUUUUGAAUUGGAGCAAGGCCAGGCUCUGGUCAACGGGGCAUAAUUGUACUGAAGAGGAGAAAUUGGAAGAAGAAUGAGCAGGUUGGGAGUGCGAAUGGAAGAAAAGAAGGCAGAGAAAUUGAGUGUAUAUAUAGAGACUUCCGGAAUGCAUAACUUCCCCUUUCCUCGUUGUUUCUAAAAUUAUUUAAAAAAGAAAUCAUAUAAAUAUAUCAUCAAAAUACUGAUGAGAGAACAAAAGUCUAGCCAGAAUAAAAUUGAAAGCAAAUUCCUUCACUGCUGCAAAACAGACUAAAAACGAAAUGGAGUUUGAAAUGUUGCAGUAUCUACUAAAACCUCAGUUCAGGCGAAAACCAACAAAGUUUGCACUGCUAACUUGCCAUUGUAAUUCGGAAACUACAAUAUUUGGAUUAAAGAAAAAUAAAUAAAUAAUAAAUUCAUAAAUAGCAAUUGAAAAUUUAACAACUAGUGAAUUCAUAAAAUUAAGUCCCCUUUUUUUGUUGUUGUUGAAUAGUGAAAUGAAUAUUCAUUUUGUGGCGUAAAAUAUAACACAUCUAUAUUAGAUAUGCUAAGUCAUUAUUCUAAAUUUAAAUUAUAUUAUAUACAUUGUUGUAACCCAUUUCUGGGUCCCCACAUAAAAAAAAAAUACAAAAAAAUUCAAAAAAAUAUAUUAUCAAAAAAUAGAACAGUGAAAAAAUGCCAAAGCGCCCUAAAAAAGCUCAAAAAUUGAUUGAGGAUGUUCAAAAAUAUAAAAAUUAAAAUUUGACAGUAUAUCAUUGACUGAUGAGAGCCCCGAUGAUAAAGAAAAUUCAAUUUGUGGAAGAAAAAUGCAAAAUCAGAAGUUUAUGGACUCAAUUAAAUUUUAUUAAAGGUUUAAUUGUAUUUAUGAAGAUUUUAAUUGCAAGAAAAAUUGAUUCUGGAGUUAAUUUGGGCUUUAAUUAGGAGAAAUUAAUUUUCUGGGGUCAAAUUAUAAUUUUUGGAAGUUAAUUUGGUCAAAUCAGGGGCUUAAUUGCAUAAAUAUUUUGAAGUUUAAUGGCCAAUUAGGGACUGAAUUGAAGAAAUCCGAGACCAAGGACUAAAUUGUAAAACACACGCAAAUGGAGGGCCGAAAUUUGAAUCUGACGCGUUUUGGCGCCUUUUCCUUUUAAUUGAAACGACGCGUUUUGACCAAAACGGCGCCGUUUCUUUCACUGUUUUUUUUUUUUUUUUUUAAAAAAGAAAGAACCCAAAACGGUGCCGUUCACUACAAGAUUUCACAGUUUUACCGACGGAAAUAUUCCGUCGGUGUGUGACAGAACGUUCGUCGGUAAAUUAUUUACCGACUAUAUUACCGACGGCAUACUCCCGUCGGAAUACCUUUUGUCGGUGAUUCCACAUUCCGUCGCUAUAUCCGUCGGUAAUAAAAAAAACACAUUUACCGACAGCCUGUGCGCGCCAAAAAAAAAAAAGUUUCCCGCUUGGAAUAUACCGACGGAAUACAUUCCGUCGGUGUUAUGUAAAUACCGACGGACUAACUCCGUCGGCAAAAGUGUCGGUGAUAUUUCAUACCGACCGAAUAAAUCCGUCUGUAAAUUCGUCGGUAUUUUUAUACCGACGGAUUAUUUCCGUCGUGAGUAUGUCGGUGAUGGAUGGCAUACCUCAGACACUGUCCAUGCCGACGGAUUUAUUCUGUCGGUAAUCCCUGUGUAAUUUUUUUUUUUAAUUAUUUAGAAAAAAUAAUAUAAAUUAAUAGUAAUACAAACCAAUUAUGCAAAUAAAAUUAUAUUAAGCAACAAAAACUCAAAGUUAAAUAAUAUUCAUUACAAAAUGAAUGUGUUUAAAAAAAAAAUUAAUAUAAAGGUGGAGGAGGAGGAGGAGGAGGGUGGGGGUUAGGCGGCCAAAAAGGAUUAGGCGCACAUGUUCCGCCUUGUGUCAUGUUCAUGACCAUUUGACGAAGCUCUUCAUAGGCCGCUCUUUGUUGUUCAGACUCUGCUCUGCGUUGUUCGUCCGCCAAUCUGUGUUGUUCGUUCGCCAAUCUUUGCUCUUCUUUGAGUUGUGUGUACGCCUCUGAUAGGUGGUCGCACCUUUGCUGCAAGGCCACAAACUCCUUAGAUUGGGAGCUCGAUACAGAUUGGGAGCUCCCACCGGUUGAAGCAGUACCGGUCGACCGCAACUUGGCAGCGGUAGUGUUGGAGAGCCCGUAAACCCGAUUUUUAUCGGGUCCACCUGACGAUCCAGCCUCCAUCCACAAAUCCGGAUCGAAUUCCGGAUGGGUCGAAGGAUCAUCCCCGUAUCUCUCCCUCAACCGAUUAUUAUAGGUCUCCUGAAAAAAAAAAAUCAUAUUCAAUUCAAUAAACAUAAUAAUAACUUACAAAAUAAAAUGGUUAAACAAACACACCACAAACUGUUGAGCACGGUUGUCAACGAACUGUUGCGUCCCCUUUUGGCGGUCAUGACUCCGCACGUGCGUCUCCACAAACAGCUCCAUAGGGCUCGGCUCACGUCCAAGAGACGUAGCCUAUAUAUAAUGAAAAAAAUGUAUUAACAACAAAUUAAUUGAACGAUAUAUUUCAUUUAAAUUAAUCUUACCAUCCGUUUCGCAUGUGCAGCAAACGCAAACGGAGCCGCCGGUGUGCGUUGUAACCGAGCCAUGAAUUUACCGAUUCCGGUUGCCGGCACCGGACUGUGAGCGUCGAGUGAACCGCUCAGACGUCACGUGCUGAAGAUAGUGCGGCCAUAUAUCUUCCGGGAUGUAUAUUGGUUUGAAAUCCCUCCAAACCGCAACAUCGUUCCAGCCUUGUAACCCCUUAUCCCUCGCUGUUUUUUUUGCUUUUUCUGGGCGUCAUACGAAAAAUCACGCAACCUAAUUCACGCACGAAAAAAUUACAUUUCAAAACAUAAAUAAUUAUGUAAAAAAAAGUCGUAUUGUUUUCGAUGUUACCUAAUUGCCGCGUGAUUUUCCCACACCCUCCUCACAACACUCAUGUUCAUCGUCCCAGCAGAAUCGAUGCUGUAUAUAAAAAAAUAAUUUUUUAAAAUGUUAAUAAUUUAUUUACAAUUAUAACAUGAAUUUUAAUUAGAAAUAAGCUGAAAAUUAUAUAUUAACACGAACCUCAAAUCUACGAAACCAUGCAUUGAUUUGAGGCAUCCAUUCAGGAUGUCUGGAUAUCUGACUCCAUUGAAACAAUGGAAUCUCAUCGACGCUUUAAACGCCGAUGAUAUUAAUCGGGCCCAAUGUUUGUGAACCUGAAAAGAAAUGAAAUUAAUUUGUGAUUACUUCAUAAAUUAUGUUUUAAAUUUGUUUUUUUAUAUAAAAAAACUAAAACAUUAACAAACUUACAUUGAAAGAUCGUCCUUCCACUGUGCCUCGAACUGGCGGGUAAAUUGAUUCCGCUUCGAAGGCAUGCCGCGUCUGCGAUGUGAAACAUCGCUGGAAGAGGCAGCAUCGGUUGACGGCGCAGGUGGUGUAGGUGCCUCUUCUUGAGAGGCACCUAAGGAAACAUCAUCAUCGCUGCUAGACGAACUUGAUUCGACUUGACGACCAGCUCUGGUUUUCAUUUUGCGCAUCUAAACAAUUUUAUAUUAAUAAUUGUAAAAUAAAAUUCAAAAGUUAAAAAAAAAUCGGCAGCACCUCCCCUAUACUGGAUACUACCCAAAUCCACAAACCUGCAAAUAUUAACAAUAGCCACAACCAAUCGAACCAAUCUAUACUAAUUAUUCCAACAUAUUCAACUAUUAAUCCUAAGAUAAAUUCAACGUUAACAAUUACAAUUCACAAAUUAAUCAAUAAUUAUAUUCAAAACAAUAAAAAAUAUAACAAAAAAUAAAUUCAAUAAAUUCAACAAAUUAUACUUCAACAAAUUAACAAUUACAAUUCAACAAAUUCAAAAAAUUCAAAAAAAUUCAAAAAUUCAACUUUAACUAAUUCUAAGUUAAAUUAACGAAUAACAAUUCUAACAACACAACAACAAAAAAUAUUCAAUAAAUCCAACAAUUAAAUUCAAUUAUUCAACAAUUAAAUUAACAAAUAUUCAACAAAUUCAAAAAAUUCAAAAAAUAUUCAAAAAAUUCAACUUUAACUAAUUCUAAGUUAAAUUACCUAAUAAAAAUUCUAACAACACAACAACAAAAAAUAUUCAAUAAAUUCAACAAUUAAAUUCAAUUAUUCAACAAUUAAAUUAACAAAUAUUCAACAAAUUCAAAAAAUAUUAAAAAAAAAAAGGAACGAAAUAUACAUACCUUAAUAAUGUGUCAAAUUCAAAACUUUAUCUACAUUGCAACAAAAAACACCAACACAACAAAAAUAAAAACAACUAAAAAUAAAAUAAAAUAAAUUAGAAAAAAAACACAUACCUUUUAAUAUAAUGAAGAUUUACAACACCAAAUCUUGCUAGAGAUUAAAGGUGAAAGUGUUUAAGGAUUGAGGGGGAAAAAAAUGAAAAAUCUAGGCUGAAAAACGCAGGAGAAGAGAAGAAGCGGCGGGGAGAAGAAGAAAAAAUGAGGCGAAGCGGCGGGGGUGGAACUUAUUGGUCAAUUUUACCGACGGACUCCCCGACGGAAUUAACAUCCAUCGGUAACAGGUUACAAAUCCGUCGGUAAAAGGUCAAAAUUUCGUCGGUAUUUUUCGAAUUUCGCCCCGAAUUUUUAAAAGCCCUCCAAAAUUUUCGAAGUCCGUCGGUGAUUCCGUCGGUAAUCUGACAAGUUCAGGGGCGCAUUAAUUAACGCACUUUGGGAAACGCGCGGUCCGUCGGUAAUUCUAUCGGUAAAAUGGGUAACCAACAAAUUACCGACAGAGCUACGCCGUCGGUAAUACCGUCGAUUGUGGUUUUAUGUUUUCGAGCUUACUGUGAGAUGCCGACGGAUGUUAUUCUGUCGGCAUGGCCGUCGGUGAUUGUGGCAUUUUGUUGUAAAUAUUUUCCAACUCUCUGUGAGAUACCGACGGACGGUGAGUCCGUCGGCAUGGCCGUCGGUGAUUGUGGCAUUUUGUUGUAAAUAUUUUCGAACUCUCUGUGAGAUACCGACGGACGGUGAGUCCGUCGGCAUGGCCGUCGGUGAUUGUGGCAUUUUGUUGUAAAUAUUUUCGAACUCUCUGUGAGAUACCGACGGACGGUGAGUCCGUCGGCAUGGCCGUCGGUGAUUGUGGCAUUUUGUUGUAAAUAUUUUCGAACUCUCUGUGAGAUACCGACGGACGGCGAGUCCGUCGACAUGGACGUCGGUGAUUGUGGCAUUAUGCAGGAAAGUUUGUCUUUGUAUUGCCUGUUUACCUUCCUGCAGAAACUUAACUGAUAAACUGUCCAUCACAUAAACACAAUAACCACAUUGCUUAAACAGUAAAUAUUUUGUUUUACAAAAUACAUCAUCAAUAAUCUAAAUUACAUGAGACAAAUGUUUUUACAUAGGGCUUCAUGUUCAUAAUUAGUCGGAAUUUUCUUCUUCUUCCUCGUCAAUUGAAUUGUCAUCAUCUUCAUCGCAAUCUUCAAUAUGGAUAUCAUCUUCUUCAUCGACAUUUGGUUGUCCGCUAGAGCUGAGAACAACAUUCAACUCCUCUCCGUCAAUAUCAACAAGACUAUCAUCGAGAACUCGAAAAUUUGAAUUUUCUUCCAAUUCAAUCGAAGGAGCAACUCGAUAUGGUUCAACCAACUCACGAACUUGAAAGACUUCAUCUCGCACACUUGUGUCUUCGUUCUCAUCCUGAACAACCUCGACACGACCCCGUGGUUUCGUUUUUAAAACGGACAACCAAUCAACUCUUGAACGAUCCUUUCUAAAUGAAGGGGUGUAUGUGUAAUAAACUUGUUGACAUUGCUUUGCGAAAACAAAGACAUCGUUUAUGUUGCGGAGUCUAGCUUUUGAGUUGAUUUCGACCAGACCAUGGUGCAUGUCACGACCCGAAUCCCGGAUCCAUGACCGGCACAUAGGCAAGGUUCCCCUCCAAGGUUCCAAACCUAUGCGAACCCAAACUUACAUACAAUCUUUUAAACAACUCAAUCAGAGUUUAACACAGCAUUAACAAUAAAUUAACUUUAUAACAUAAUUCGAUUAUCUUAAUACAAGAGUUAAUAUAAUUUCAUAGUUUUGGAGCACUAACUUGACAUAAAAAGAAAGAUACAAAUUACAACCAAAAGCAGGUUCGGAAGGUUCAACAAAAGUAACCCACUAUCAAGCUAUAAGCCUGAAAAGAAUAAAUAAUGAGAGGGUGAGUUCAACAACUCAGUGAGUAGAUAACAUUCAAUAUACACAUACGAGGUAAUAUAACAAUGAGAAAUAUAUAUACAAGUAUGGCUUUAGUUCUUAUACGAAGGUUUAUCAAAUAGGCCAUAACAAGAAUAUCAUAUGGUAAAACUCGUCAGAAAAUCAAAAUGCAAUGAGCAUGAGGCUCCGUACUGUGGGAUGAUCAGUCCACACAGGUUGGUGACUCCCCCGACCAACUAGGGUUCAGAUACGAUGUGCACAAAGACUAACACUACCCUGUUAGCAUGGGUAUUCUGACUUAGGUUCAUAAUCAUAAUCAAACAAACAUAUUCAUAUCUCAAAGCUCAACUCAUGACAUCAAUCAAAUGAGGAGCUAUCAAUUCAGAAGUCAAAUCAUAUUGGUUCAUAUCAAGAAAUCAGAUUCAAUAAUUGAUCAUGCUUUUAUCAUAAGGAUAAUAAUCAACAUAUAUAUUAUCAAGAAGCAUGAUCCAAUUCAUAUUAACAAAUCAAAUAUUUAUAAUAUUUCUCAUGCAUAUGGAAAAUUAUCCACUCACCUGACUCAAAAGCAAACAGAAGCCAAAAGCAGACACUGAAGAAAAUCCUACUAACGUCCCGCUGGUAGAAUAUCAGGAUUAUCUGAAUACAAAUGAGACAUAUUCAAGAACGACUCGAAAGAACAUUUAACCUAUUUAAUACACUUAACUAAGGAUGUAUUCCGUAAUCCUAUAUGUUUUUGAACUAACUAGUCAAUUUUCUCAAAAACCCAAAAUCUAACGGUUUUCCCGAAAUCUAAUCCAUAAUAAAAACAACUAAUAAAAUUGAUAAUAAUUCACUAAAUAACCCUUAAUUAUUCAUCAAACUAAUCUGCAAAAUCUAAUAUUACAGCUAGGGACUAAUCUGUAAUUUUCCCAUAUUUUUAGGGCCAAAUUGUAACUUUUAUCAAAUGGAGGACCAAACUGAAAUUUGUCAUAAAUCCUUGAAUAUACUGAAAUUCUGACCUCAAUUAAUCCUCAAUUCUGUCCAGGAUGUAUCAUUAUGCUUCAGGGAUCAUUCUGGAAUUUUACUAAAUUUUUAGGGUCAAACCGUACUUUUUGUCAAAUUGAAGGACUAAAUUGAAAGUGUUAAAUUCUUUUAUCUAUACAGUAAUUCUGUCCAUAAUUCAUAUAUUAUUCUGUUCAGAAUCUCGGAAUAUGCUCCAGGUACCAAUUUGUAAUUUUCCAAAGUUCGAGGACUAAACUGUAAUUUUCGAAAAUUGAGGGACCAAAUUGAAUUUUCGUCAUCUUCAACCUCCAGUCCAGAUUUUAACAGAAACCCAACUGUUCUCCCCUGAUUUCUAACUCAAUUUUCACCAUUUACACAAUUCUAUAACUCAAAAUCAUCAUAAUCUUCCAUAAUCAACUAAAUCAUCAAUUAAACACAACAAUCAACCCCUAACCUUCAAUUUAAUUCAUCAAUUUAAAUCAAACACAAAUUCUCAAAACCCUAACAUUCAUAAAAACUGAAAUUAAAGCUUAAUUAACAUAUUAUACACAUUAAACAACCUAAAUCUUACCUUUUUCACUUAUUUCCUCCAAAACUCUUCCUUUUUCCCUUAUUUCCCUUCUUUUCUCUUCUUCUUCUUUCUCUCUCUCUCUCACGUUCUGCUCUCUAAUUUCAGAUCACUUUCCCUUUUUUUUUUUUUUUACUUCCUAUAUUUUAUUUCAAUUUUUAUCCAAUUACUACUAUACCUUAUUUACUUUAUUCCUACAUCUAAGCCUUCAAGGGCUUUCUAGGCUUUUCCUAUCCCUUUAAUACAAAACAUCACAGUGCAGAUCAACUCUGAUUCCUCUGUCCGUCGUGUCAUACCAAUAGCAUUUGAAUAAAAACACUUUAUUCUGCUCGCUAUGAUAUUGCAGUUCGACGACCUCUUCUAAUCUACCAUAGUAGUCAACUUCUAACUGGCUACUUGUGGAUCCCUUAACACAAACACCGCAGUUGUAUGUCUUUCUUCCUUGCCCGUAUUCUUCAGUAUGGAAAACAUAUCCAUUGACAAAAAACCCGUUGUAGCACUUAACUUUUCUUUCAGGGCCGAGGCUUAAUGAAGACAAUGACUUGGGCGCACUCCUUCCCAUUUGAUAACCUUGUAAAUAUAUGUAAUUAAAUGUACAUCAAUACACGGUAAAUGAACGAGAAUCUCGUAAUGACAUGCAUACGUUAGAAUGAGUUUGUGAUAGUGCUUACAUGUGUUCUGAACCAUGUGGCAAAUUGUUCAUUCUUGUAAUUGAAAGAUCUGGGAUUCGGUCAGCUGCGAGUUAUUGGAGAGCAAAUAUUGUCGAUGUUGCCUGCAAGUGAUAAUGAUGUAUGAUAUUACAAUAUAUAAUUAACAGUAUAUUAUUGACAAAGUUUAAUUACUAUUACACAUAUAUAGACUUACUAAAUAAAUGGUCUCAGCUCAUCACAGUUAAAUAGAACAUAGUUUGCUUGUUGAAUUCUAUUUCCACAAAUAUCUUCCUCUUACGGCAUUUUUAGGUGUGGGUCGUCCAGUAUUGGAGAAUAUUGACAAGUUUCCCACUGGAAGGCACUUCACCGCCAUCGUCAUGCCGUGGAACGCGAUUGAUUCUUGUUCUCAGAUGAGGUUCGAAAUAGUACGAGAUAAAUGUAUCUCUUCAACAAUAGGCCUCAGAUAUCGAAGCCUCAACAUGCGCCUUGUUCUUAACCUUUUUUUUUAGAUUAAACAAGUACCUGCAUUGAAGUACAAUUCAAGUAUUUUCAAAUAAGAAAAACAUAGAAAAUACUUUAAGAUAUGAAUUCCAUUGCAACUGUAAUAUCUCACCGUUCGAAUGGGUACAUCCAUCUAUACUGGACCGGUCCUCCAGCUUUUGCCUCGAACGGUAGAUGUAUAGGGAGAUGCUCCAUUGAGUCAAAAAAUGAAGGAGGGAAUAUCAUCUCAAGUUUGCAUAGUGUCUCGAUGAUAUUCGUUUGAAGCAUCUCAAUGUGCUCAACAUUCAUCUUGCUGGAGCAUAUAUCUCUGAAGAAAUGACUGAUCUCCGUUAAUGCAUCCCAUAUUCCCUUUGGCAACAAAUCACGAAAAGCUAAUGGGAUGAGUGUUUGCAUAAACACGUGGCAGUCAUGGCUCUUCAUUCCAUACAAUCUGCAGUCCUCUAUGUUAACAAGCCUUGAUAUGUUCGAUGCAUGUCCAUCCGGGAAACGCAGACUCUUAAGCCAUUUGUAGACUAGCAGUUGUGCGUUUUUCUCUAACACGAAGCUUGCCCUUGGUUUUGCAACCCGUGACUCGUCAUAAACCAACUCCAUAUUUUUACGGUUACAGUAUAAAGCUAUAUCCAAUCUAGCCUUCAUGUUGUCCUUUGUCUUCCCCUUCACAUCCAUGACGGUGUUGAAAAUAUUCUCAAACACGUUCUUUUACGGUGCACCCGUCACGUCACUCGUACGGAUCUGGCAUUUCAAAUCCGUCGGUGAUUCCGUCGGUAUUUUUUGACGGUGAAUAGGUCCCAUCACGCGUACGGGCCCCAGUUUUUAAUUCCGUCGGAAAAAUCACCCACCAAAACCUCCGCGCUACUGCCCGCCCUUUUUUCAUUAAUUCUGAAUUUUCGGUCGGUAAUUACCAACGGAAAUAGUCCGUCGGUAAUUACCAACCGAAUUACCGACGAAUAUUGUCCGUCGGUGAUUUCGGCCGAAAAAUACCGACAGAAAAAAUUCCGUCGGUAUGUCCGUUGGUAUUUAGCGAUUUUCUGGUAGUGGUUUUGGAACGGCACCAUUGUCUUCUUCCCUGCGCACGCAGAGAACAGGGGAGAAGAAUUUUUUGUCUUCUCCACUUUUCACCGAACUUCUUUCCCCGAUGGCUUCAAAAAUACGCCCACCAUUCGGCGCCCACUUGCCUCCUUUUUCUCCACUGAUCGAUAGUGGAGGGGGCGGCCAACAGUGGCCGCCCCACCGUGACGUCCUUCCCCUGUUUUUGCCUAUAAAAAUAGGGGAAGCAGACCAAAGGAGGACCGAGAACAAAAAGGAGAGAGAAGAAAAAAAGGAGACGCGAGGGAGGGAACAUAAGAGGGAAUAGAAGAGAAGAGAAGGGAGAGACAGAGAGAGGAAAGCCGAGAGAAGGCAGGAAGAGAGAAAGGAAGAAGCAGAGAAGAAAACAAAAAAAUACAGAGGAGAGAGAGAGAGAGAAGGAAAACCGCCCGGCAUCGCGAACAGCCAGCACCGCCGCCCCCCUGCCGCAUCAGCUGUUGCCAGCAUCAACACCAUUCCAGGUAACUUUCUCGUCAUUUUUUUUGCUUCGGCUUCGGCUUCAUCUGCAUGCAGAACGUUUACGUUCUGCAGCAGAUGAAGAUUAAUUAGCUAGUUACUGUGUUGUGCACAGUACUAAUUAAUUCACGGUACUGUGUGCACAGUAACCCGGUUACUUACGCGCUAAUUAAUUCCUGGUUGCUGUGCACAGUAACCAGCCCAUCUUUGGGCCAGGUUCGGCCCAGCCCAUGUAUUUGGGCCUGAUCCGGCCCAUUUCAAAGAAAAAAAUCAAAAAUAUUUGUUUCAGCAUUUUAUAAUUUUUUCCGCUAUUUUUAUGUCAUUUUGAUUAAUAUUUGGGUGGUAUUUUAUGUUGUUAAAAAUACAAAAAUCUGAUUUAAAUACCCGGUUUUCGUCAAAAAACUUCCAAAAAUACAAAAAAAUUAAAAAAAAAAAAAAAAAUGUUUUUGUGCAUACGGCCAAGUGUCUCAAAGCUAAAAAUUCAUAUUGUAUUUUUCAUACAAAAAAAAAUGUUUUAGCAUGCAUUUUGGCUUUAAUAACCAGUUUAUUAAAGUCAAGAGAAUAUUGGCCAAUAUUUCAAAAACAACAAAAAUUUUAUUUUGUUUGUCUCUUAGUAUCCGGGGUAUGACUUUACACGUAAUGCAUAUUCCGGAUAUUUAAUUCUUUUUUUGGACAAUAGAACCUGGGUAUGACAUUACAUGUAAUGCGUAUUCCGAACAAUAAAAACCACAACACGACCUUAGAUUUUAUCAGACAAAACAAUGCAGCUACCUUAGGUAGGGCGUAGUUGGGGUGCUAAUACCUUCCCUUUACGCAACCAGUCUCCGUACCCGAUCUCUAAAGACCAGUUAAGGUUCCUAGUAACCAGAAUACUAGGUGGCGACUCCCAGUCCAUAUUUUCACUUGUAGAGACAAGAAUUCCUUGUCUCUCCACACAUUUCCCAGGAAUAAAUAUUCCGAAUUUUUCCUUGAGGGUGGACGAUCGCCGCGCCGCCGCACACGUGCGACUGAAUGGCGACUCCACUGGGGACUUUGUGGACUAAGCUUUAUUUUUGUCUGAUGAUUGUGUUUUAUUGUUGUGGUUUGCGUGUUUAUUUUUAAAUAUGCAUUUUCUUUAUAUAUUUGUUCAUAUUUAGUUGUGCGCUUUAAUUUUUGUACAUAUUUAUCUCAUGCAUCACAUAGUUUUUUUUUUAAAGCACACACAAGCUUCAGGUUAGGAGGGGGACUAGCAGCUUACCUUACGACUUUUAGUCAAGGUUUAAGUUUGUGUAAACCCCAACUCUUCGUUGAGUGCUUAGACUGGUAAUGGUUGGUACACGUACCAUCUCAUUGCCUACAAGCCCCCAUAUUGCCUCCACGAGGGCGAUCACUGGGACAACGAGAGUCUCUUUUUUAGAGACCAAAUAGUAAACCUACCUUUUGUCUCACUUAAAAAAUUAGAAUCAACCUUUAGAAUGUAUGCUCCGUAUACAUUGUUUUGCAUCCGAGCAAGCCCUUCUUGAAGCAUCUUGAACUCCAGACUUUUGGGUGACACAAUGACCGUCGCUCAGAAAAUUUUCAUUGUAGAGUUUGUGCAAGAAUCAAGAUUCUUGUUACAAGAGUUGCGACCAUAUGUCACCCCUCGAAGGGCGAGUUCGUCAUAUAGAUUACAUGUGCAUACAUUUAACAUGCAUACAUGUCAGAUUGAAAUAUAGGUCCCCAAAAAGUCUACAACACCCGACUUCGAGCAAGAAACAUGGAAGAUGAAGAGCGUGCUCAACGUGAUGCCUAUUUGCACGAGGAGUUGGAGUCUCUGAAAAUAAGUGUGGCUCACCUCACUAGCUUACUCAAGCAAACACUAAGAAAUACCUCUGAUGAAGGUCCUUCUAAUCAACCGAUCACCUUUGAUCCGGCUCCUACUCAGUUCAGCCUGAGGAAAGAAUGAGCGAACAUGGUCAAGAACCUCAGCAAAAUCCAACAUUUGUGCAGUCAACGACACCUGCACCAUCCCCAACAGUUGUGAAGGCAUCUGCUAAUGAGUCCCACAAGGCUAAGUCAUCUGAUAGCAUUGAUCAAGCUAAGAUAGAGGCGCUGGAAGCCAGACUCAAAGCCAUUGAAGGGUAGACUUAUAUGACCCGGUACGGGCAGCAGAGAUGUGUUUGGUCCCAAACGUGGUUAUCCCAAAGAAAUUUCGUGUUCCUGAAUUCAUCAAAUACAGUGGAACACAAUGCCCCAUGACUCAUCUCAGGUCCUACUGCAAUAAAAUGGCUGAGGUAGUACAUGAUGAAAAACUACUAAUGCACUUUUUCCAAGACAGUUUAAGUGGGGCAACUUUGAGUUGGUACAUGAGAUUGGAUAACACAAAAAUUCGCAACUGGAAAAAUCUUGUGGAUGCUUUCGUCAAGCAAUACAAAUACAACAUGGACAUUGCGCCGACAGAACCAGUUUGUCCAAUAUAGAGAAAAAGGAUAAAGAAAGCAUAAGGGAAUAUGCUCAAAGAUGGCGAGAAUUAGCUGCUCAAGUACAUCCCCCACUUCUGGACAAAGAGAUGGUCUCUUUAUUUGCCAACACACUCAAAGCACCAUAUUACGAACAUAUGAUGGGUAGUUCAGCCCAACAAUUCACUGAUGCUGUGAUAGUGUGUGAACGCAUAGAGCAAGGUGUCAAGAGUGGUAGAAUUGCUGCACCAACCGAGAAAAGAGGCGUCGAAAGAAAAGAGGUUCACCAUGUUGAAGAUGGCUACAUGGGUAACAAAUUACCAUCCCCAAAUUGCCAACAUCAAAAAACCUGAACCCCAAAACUUUCAAGCCAAAAGCCAAAUUGGAAAUUUCCAAAGGGUUCAAGAACAACUACCUCCACUACCGUUACCCCUGAAUGAGAUGUAUCAAAAGCUAUUGAGCAUCGGGCAAAUAGCUCCAGAACCUCUAACACCUCUGCAGCCACCUUAUCCUAAUUGGUACAAGCCAGAACUCAAUUGUGAAUACCAUGCCGGUAUUACUGGGCAUAGCAUCUAUACCUGCAACGCCUUCAAGAGAAAGCUUCUGCAAUUAAUCAAGGCUGGUUGGAUAGAGUUGGAAGACACCCCCAAUGUGAAUACGAACCCGCUGCCUAAUCAUGCUUGAAGCAUAUUAGGAUGGAAUGUUUGGGGAAUUGGAAAGCAUCAAUGGUCCAGCAUGAUAGCUUGAAUUUUGUAGAACUCAAAUUUUGACCGUGGUGUUGUUCCGCAUUGUCUUUGAGUCCUCUACGCAGAGCUUUUGAGAGGAGGUUUAGCCUAUGAACAGAUUCGCCAAAAUAGAGGAAUGAAGCCUGCCUUGUUAUUGCCUUUUGUUAAUGCUUUUGAAAGACUUUCUCUGUUAAUGAGCUUCUCUUGUGAAAUAAGAUCAUGUGUUUUCUUGUGUUCACAUCACACUCUUCUUUGUUGUUAUUACAUGUAAAUAACAUUUUGAGCGCAACUUUGCUCACAACACUACAACAUCCUUUGGUGUUCCUUUCUUCCAAACCCAUACAUUAAUCUCAUAUGUUUUCAAGGAUAUUUUUUUGGGACCUCCAAAGUGAGUACAAAAAACAAAAAUCGUGUUGAUAUUUGUCCAAAACAAAUGCAUUUUGAAAAUUCAAGUGAUUCCUUAAAUAGGUACACAUAUACCUAGAAAACUUGAAAGAAAAAAGACAAUAAAGACAAACAACACUAUGAGGUGACUCAAAAAGCUGAGUUUUAUUUGACUGAAUAAAUCACUUUGCAUACGCGCAUGAAAGCAAGACCUAUCGAUCCUCAUGUGAGUUUGAGAUGAGGAAAGGCCAUCUUUGAUAAUCCUUUCACAAGGCUAAAUAUAUCCUUUGCAGUCCCAUUUUGAGCCUAGUAAUUUUUUGGAAAUAACCUUGACUAGGAUCACACCCCACACUGGGGGGCAAAAUAAGAGAGUUUGUUGUUUUUACCAUCCAGACAAAGCAGUGAAGAUGGGUGCUGGAAUUGAUCAUGUAAUUUUUCUUUCAUUAUCAUCCAAAUGAAAAGUGAAGAAAAUACUGAGGUUAAAAGAUUUGAGCUUCUCAUAAAACAACUGAUAUGAUUGUGCUCAACCAAACAAAAACGAAGAAAACAAAGAGAAAAGCCCAAACCCGACACUGGGGGGCAGGAAAUCUAUUUUAAAAAAAACAAAUCCAAAAGACAAAAGGUCAGGAAACAAGCACAAGUGAUCCUAGUCUUGAAAUCCCUUAAACACUUUUUGAGCCUGCAACAUAUCCAUUUUCUUCGUAACCAAUAGCCAAAGCCUACAUUACAUACCUGAUAAAGCCCUUUCUGAUCAAAGGCAAGCAAUCUGGAGGUAUGCAGUGCUUUCUCGUGCGAGUCAAAUCAUUAUUCAUGCAAAUAAAAUAAAUGCUUUGAAUCAAUUCGGUUCUCAAUAACCCUCAAAUUGAAAUUUAAACCUUUUGUGACCAACCAGAUGUCACUUCAUCUUUAAACCAAAAGCAAAAAGCUUUCAUCACUUCAAGAAACCUGUCCAUAGGAAUCACUUGAAUUUUUUAGAACAAGUUUAUUUUGAACCAAUAUCAAAAUCAUUUUUGUGAUUGGAAUAACUUGGAAGUUCCAAAAAUUUUGCAUGAAAACAUUUCAUUGUACAAAAAACCCAAACUUACUUUCACAUAUCCUCACCCCAAACUAAACCCAAGUUGAACACUUGGGGGGCAUGAUCAAGCUGGGGGGCAAUCAAACACACAUGGUAGGGCUGUCUCCAUGAUUCCUUUUCUAAGGAAAAUGUCGGGCAAAAUUGGCAACUCUUGAGAUAAAGGGUGAAGGACAAAGAUGUAUGAUGACAUCAAACCCUUCCCAGAGGUCAAGAUCACAAUAUGUAACCCGAGUAAGCAAAAGUGGAAAAGCCAUCGAAGUUUACUACCAACACUACAACUUUUGAGAGAAAACAAAGACACCAUGAAGAAAUGGGGGCCUAUAUUUCUCAGGUAAGUAUACAUGCAUAUCAAUCAUAAUGCAUUUGCUUUUCAACAUUGACAAUCAUUGUUUCAACAUCACUUUUGGUAGUGCGUUUUCUAACCCUACCUCCUUUUGAGUGCGCCUUUGAGCCCUCACCUCCUUUUGAGUGCGCCUUUGAGCCCUCGCCUCCAUUUUGAGUGCGCCUUUGAGCCCUCAUCCCUUUGGUAGUGCGUUUUCUAACCCUACCUCCUUUUGAGUGCGCCUUUGAGCCCUCACCUCCAUUUUGAGUGCGCCUUUGAGCCCUCAUCCCUUUGGUAGUGUGUUUUCUAACCCUACCUCCCUUUGAGUGCGACUUUGAGCCCUCACCUCCUUUUGAGUGCGCCUUUGAGCCCUCACCUCCAUUUUGAGUGCGCCUUUGAGCCCUCAUCCUUUUGGUAGUGCGUUUUCUAACCCUACCUCCUUUUGAGUGCGCCUUUGAGCCCUCACCUCUUGGGUAAUGCGUUUUUCUAACCCUACCUCUUUUCGAGUGUGCCUUUAAGCCCUCGCCAUCCAAUUCUUCACAUUUUUUCCAUCUGGGUAGGUCACCCAUUACGAUGAGACCACUCUUUACUUUUAUGUUUAGGCAGGUCGCCCAUGAAAAUAGACCAAUGUCAACGUGAGUGUGUGGGCUGGUCGCCCUUGAAAAUAGACCACUUAUAUACCAUCUUUCUUCAAAAACAAAGGGUUUGAACACACAGGAUUUUGGUUCUGGUUAGAGGGGAUUUCCGAAAGGGAUCUCAGUCUAUCCCAACCACACACAGGAUUUUGGUUCUGGUUAGAGGGGAUUGCCGAAAGGAAUCUCAGUCUAUCCCAACCACACACAGGAUCAUGGUUCUGGUUAGAGGGGAUUGCCGAAAGGAAUCUCAGUCUAUCCCAACCACACAGGAUCAUGCUUCUGGUUAGAGGGGAUUGCCGAAAGGAAUCUCAGUCUAUCCUAACCACACACAGGAUUUUAGGUUCUGGUUAAAGGGGAUUGGUGAAAGAAAUCUCAGUUUAGCCCAACCACACACAGGACUUUGGGUCCGGUUGAAGUUUUAGGUCAAUCAAAUUUUGAGACGAUCAGUUUCGGAAGACCAAUUUUAUUUUAUCUUUACAACACUUACUAUGCACAAAUCUUUGCUCCGUAAGCAUUGUAAAGAGGGGGGCAACUGUUGUAACCCAUUUCUGGGUCCCCACAUAAAAAAUAAUAAAAUACAAAAAAAUUCAAAAAAAUAUAUUAUCAAAAAAUAGAACAGUGAAAAAAUGCCAAAGCGCCCUAAAAAUGCUCAAAAAUUGAUUGAGGAUGUUCAAAAAUAUAAAAAUUAAAAUUUGACAGUAUAUCAUUGACUGAUGAGAGCCCCGAUGAUAAAGAAAAUUCAAUUUGUGGAAGAAAAAUGCAAAAUCAGAAGUUUAUGGACUCAAUUAAAUUUUAUUAAAGGUUUAAUUGUAUUUAUGAAGAUUUUAAUUGCAAGAAAAAUUGAUUUUGGAGUUAAUUUGGGCUUUAAUUAGGAGAAAUUAAUUUUCUGGGGUCAAAUUAUAAUUUUUGGAAGUUAAUUUGGUCAAAUCAGGGGCUUAAUUGCAUAAAUAUUGAAGUUUAAUGGCCAAUUAGGGACUGAAUUGAAGAAAUCCGAGACCAAGGACUAAAUUGUAAAACGCACGCAAAUGGAGGGCCGAAAUUUGAAUCUGACGUGUUUUGGCGCCUUUUCCUUUUAAUUGAAACGACGCGUUUUGACCAAAACGGCGCCGUUUCGUUCACUGUUUUAAAAAAAAGAAAAAAAAGAAAGAACCCAAAACGGUGCCGUUUUGGAACGGCACCAUUGUCUUCUUCCCUGCGCACGCAGAGAACAGGGGAGAAGAAUUUUUUGUCUUCUCCACUUUUCGCCGAACUUCUUUCCUCGAUGGCUUCAAAAAGACGCCCACCAUUCGGCGCCCACUUGCCUCCUUUUUCUCCACUGAUCGAUAGUGGAGGGGGCGGCCAACAGUGGCCGCCCCACCGUGACGUCCUUCCCCUGUUUUUGCCUAUAAAAAUAGGGGAAGCAGACCAAAGGAGGACCGAGAACAAAAAGGAGAGAGAAGAAAAAAAGGAGACCGAGGGAGGGAACAUAAGAGGGAAUAGAAGAGAAGAGAAGGGAGAGACAGAGAGAGGAAAGCCGGAGAGAAGGCAGAGAAGAGAAAGGAAGAAGCAGAGAAGAAAACAAAAAAAUACAGAGGAGAGAGAGAGAGAAGGAAAACCGCCCGGCAUCGCGAACCGCCAGCACCGCCACUGCCACCCCUGCCGCAUCAGCUGCUGCCAGCAUCAACACCGUUCCAGGUAACUUUCUCCACUGUCAUUUUUUUUUGCUUCGGCUUCGGCUUCAUCUGCAUGCAGAACGUUUACGUUCUGCAGCAGAUGAAGAUUAAUUAGCUAGUUACUGUGCUGUGCACAGUACUAAUUAAUUCACGGGUACUGUGUGCACAGUAACCCGGUUACUAUGCGCGCUAAUUAAUUCUCUGGUUGCUGUGCACAGUAACCAGCCCAUGCAUUUGGGCCAGGUUCGGCCCAGCCCAUGUAUUUGGGCCUGACCCGGCCCAUUUAAAAGGAAAAAAAUCAAAAAUAUUUGUUUCAGCAUUUUAUAAUUUUUCCGCAUAGUUUUUAUGUCAUUUUGAUUAAUAUUGGGUGGUAUUUUAUGUUGUUAAAAAUACAAAAAUUUGAUAUUAAAAUACCCAGUUUUCGUCAAAAACUUCCAAAAAUACAAAAAAAUUAAAAAAAAGAAAAAGAGAAAAAAAAUGUUUUUGUGCAUACGGCCAAGUGCCUCAAAGCUAAAAAAUCAUAUUGUAUUUUUCAUACAUAAAAAAAAACAAUGUUUUAGCAUGCAUUUUGGCUUUAAUAACCAGUUUAUUAAAGUCAAGAGAAUAUUGGCCAAAAUUUCAAAAACAACAAAAAUUUUAUUUUGUUUGUCUCUUAGUAUUCGGGGUAUGACAUUACACGUAAUGCAUAUUCCGGAUAUUUAAUUCUUUUUUCUGGACAAUCGAACCUGGGGUAUGACAUUACAUGUAAUGCGUAUUCCGAACAAUUACAAAGCACAACAAGACUUUAGAUUUUAUCAGACAAAACAAUGCAGCUUACCUUAGGUAGGGCGUCGUUGGGGUGCUAAUACCUUCCCUUUACGCAACCAGUCUCCGUACCCGAUCUCUAAAGACCAGUUAAGGUUCCUAGUAACCAGAAUACUAGGUGGCGACUCCCAGUCCAUAUUUUCACUUGUAGAGACAAGAAUUCCUUGUCUCUCCACACAUUUUCCAGGAAUAAAUAUUCCGAUUUUUUCCUUGAGGGUUGACGAUCGCCGCGCCGCCGCGCCGCCGCACACUUGCGACUUACAUGAUUUUUUGUAUAUCAAUAAAGACAUGCAAUGAACACAAGGCUUUAUAUAUACCAAUAAAUGACUAGGAAUAACCUUUAUCUAUAUAGUAAAUUUUGAUAUAUGAUAAUAACUAACAAGAAAAUGAUAGUGAAGUCGUGCAUAUAAAGUUGAGCUAAGUAAGAAAAAAAUCUCUAAUUGCCUCUCCUAUGCGCGAGACAAUGCAUGUAUUUUAUGAACCUUUUGCUCUUAAAUUGAAACCAUAAUUUUUUAAACACUUGAAAUUAAUUUUUAAACAAUCACAAAAUCCUAACAACUCUUUGAUUUAAAAACUUUUUUUUAACAAUUUUAACUCUUUAAUUUCCUAACAGCUCUUUUAUUUUUUAAAUUAUUAUAACUACUCUUUAAUUUUCUAAUUUAUUUCUUGAUGAGCUGUUACAUAAAGCAACCUAUAUAUACCAUGCACUUUUACAAUCAAGGUGUAUUGAAAACACCAUAGUAUUUUUUUGUGUUUGUAAAGCUUGCUGGUAUUUCCUUUCGAUCUUGUUCUAGUUAUUUUUGUAACCCUUGUUUUAGAGGAGACACUUAUUGAAUCAUGAAGAAUAGCAUUUUAUAAAGAAAAAUUUUCUUAAGGACAUUCUUUGUAUACACCUCAAUUAUUUUGUUUCUGUUUUUCAUUGGAUUUUCUUACAGAAGGUUAAAGACUUGGUUUUUUAUUUUUAUUUUUUAGAAAUGAGAUUUUUGAAUUUAUACUUAACCAGAAAAAAAUGUUUGGCCACCUGAUAUUAAGGUGGAAGACUGAUCAUGGAAUGUAAGAACAGUAUGAUAGCUUCGUUCCAUUACUUGCUAUGGAAAAGUUCCUUUGGUAAAUGGUCUUUGCAAAUGAAUGAGUGUCUGGUUUCCCACCACAUUUAAUUAAAUAAUUUUGUAGGACACGUGAUAUUUUCUAGAUAGCAUUGGUUGCCAAAGACUUAGCUACAAUUUCUCGAUUAUCAUCCAUCGAGUGAUGGAUGAUCAGAAUUGUUUUUGCCUUCCUUAGAAAAUUGCUUGCGCUCCAUGAUAGUAGACAAUCGGCAGAGAAAAAAAAUGAGGCAAGAAACAGAGGCAGAGAGCUGUGAUAUCAUGUAAAACGGAGAAAGAAAAGAUUUGCCAGAAAAGUUAUUUUCAUCUAUAUACAAGUAUUUUCCUAUAAUUGUGCUUAGCUAUUUUUGGAAUAAGAAUUACAAUAGGAAUAGAUACCCUUGACAGCUUAUUUUUACAAAUUUUUUAUCUAAUCCAUUACGUAACCAUGAGAUAUUGUUGAUCCUUUCUUAACAGAAGUCCCCAGCAACGUACAAUUCCCAUCAGACGAGCUGCAAAGGAAGAGCACAAACUGUAUCUAUUAGCACAUAUUAAUUGCUAUUUUCUAAGCUAUGAAAUACUUCUUCUUCUUCUUCUGAGAAACAUAUAAAUUGCUUAACCCUUCAAGUAAGCUGUCCCCUGUUCUUGUUAAUAAUAGCAAUAAUUAUCUAUCUGCAUUAAGUUUAUAAGACAGCAAGGAAUAAUAAGUUUGUAAGCCAGCAAGGAAUAAUAAGUUUGUAAGUUUGUAAGAACAGCUGCCAUCAGACGAGCUACAGAGGAAGUUGUAAUUCGAGCAUGAAUUGUAUCUGCCCCCGAGAACAGUUGCCAGUAGACUUGCAGCAAAAAUGUCAAUUUUGGAAAUUAGUACUGCCGUGUAUCCAACGCUCAGUCUUGUGUGGAAAUAUUUGCAAGUGAACCUUCAGUUCCAUAUUCAGCACCACAGUAUCUCGAGGGUAAGAACCCUCAAACUCCAAUCUCCAUUGUUUGUCAGUUUUCUAGUAACUGUUCAAUAAAGCUGUUGCCAGAACGUGUUGACUGGUUUACAACUUGUGUUAGUGACUUAAGGGACCUCUCCUCGUGUGGAAAUAUUCGCUGAAAGGAUUUAUUGGUUGCUGUACAGCUGCGGAUUCGACACAAGAAGGUGAAGACGACUUUUUGUUUAUCAAUUUAAAUUCAUAUUUAUUGAUGUCUUUGUAUUAUUUAUACCUUUUUCAAUAUCCACGUGUUCCUAACAUGUUUUAACAUCGUUGGGAUGUCAAUAACGCAGAGUGAACGCGAUUCCAGCUACAAAGAAAGUUCUAACGAGCACACAGACUUGCUGCGCAUCGGUCACAUAGACUGGAUCUCGACAAAAAUGUUAAUUUUGGAAAUUAAUUAAUAUUGCCGUGAUUCCAACAUUUUUGUUUAGUCAUCAACUAAUUAAAAGAGCUCUCCUUGCGAGGAAAUUAUUCAAAAUUGAAUAAUUCAACCCUCAGUUCCAUAUUCAGCAGGCCAUGAAAAUUGGACAGUAUCUAUAGAUCCAAGUUCCGAAGACUUUCUAGACCAUUGCCUAUCUAUAUGAAAUUUACAAAUUUUUUUUCAAUUAUGUAUACAUAAUCCCAUAGUUUAAAUUAUUUUUUAUUUUAAAUAGAAAAGGGAAAAAUCAAAGUAUAUCAAUUGAAGGAAUGGAAAUAAUGUUUUUAAAAACAAAAUAUUACUAAUCAAGACGUGUACGUUAUUUCCAUCGGUUUUUAUUCUUACUUUAUUUUUAUUUAUUUUUUAAUCCUGGAAAAGGUAUUAUUCAUAUUAUAGGUAUACAAAAAUAAUACUAGUAUUCAAAAUAUUACUUACUUAUUUAUUUAUUUAACAUGUUUUUAAUGUAUACAAAAAUGUUUUUCCAAUAUGCUAGUUUAAUUUAUAGGUCGGAGAAAUUUAUAAGUAGAUAAUUUUAAAUAAAAAUUAUUAGAUCUAGACUAUCGCUCGGAUUACGAGUUUUCAUAUCUGAUACAAAUCAACCAGUACAGUGACAUGAUGAAAAAAAUAAAAUUGAAAUUGAGAUAAGAAUGACGGAGGGUAAAACGUUAUCAAAACUUCAUUUGUUUUCUUAACAAUGUUUGUCUAUUGCCUAAGUAGAGGUAUCUUGGUUGAGAAAUAUCAUGUGCAAGUUAACUAAAUUUGGUGUUUGACCAUAUAUAAAAUUAAAACUAGCGUCAAUAUAUUUUGUGUUUUCAUAAUAAUUUUUUUGUUAUUAUAAUGUUAGAUGAAAGGAAAUUUGGUGUUUGGCUAUAUAUAAAAAAACUAAUAAACAAUUAAAACGUACAAUGAAAUAACUAAAAUACCCUUUAAAUCAAAUAUUUUAAAAAAUGGAAUCAAUGGGCUUUUUUAUCAUUUCACAAUGGUUAUUAUUAUUAUUAUUAUUAUUAUUAUUAUGUUAGCUUAGGGAAAAAAAAGAUAAGCGUGUGUACGAUGUCAGGAAGCUUAUAUAGAAGGCAACUCCACACUUUGGGCAGCAUGUGCUCCACUUCUUAGCAUAUAACAAUGCCCUUAUACUAUUUUGUUAGAAGUGUUGUUGUGUCUUUUUCCCUAUGAAGAGACGCAUGUUGGAGUUGGUGGUCCGAUUUAAUAUUAAUGAACCUUUUUUUCUCAUUUUCUCUCUAAUCCCUAAAACAUUAUAGUUUAGCCCUCAUUAUUAUGGAUAUUUCAACUUCAGUCCUUUUUUUAUUUGUAUUCUUGGUUUUUGGUGUUUUUGUAGAAGUUUUAUUUGUCUUUAAUUUCAUCUUUCGAUCCCAAUUUAAAAAUAUUAUAUUUUUCAAUUUGGUUUUUAUUUUUCGGUUUCUAAUUUUUUUUUUAGCUCUUUUGUAAAAAUUUUAUUUGUUUUUAAUUUUCUCAUUCAAUCAAAAUUGAUAGUAUUAUGCUUUCCAAUUUGGUCCUCGUUAUUUUGAUUUCUAAUUUCUUUAUUAGAAGUUUUAGAAAAAUUAUUAUUCUUUUCAAUUUCACCUUUCAAUCAUAAUUUUUUUUUAUGUUAAUUUUGAUCCUCCUUCUUUUAAUUUUUGUUUGUCUUUUUUUAAAAUUGAUUUUUUUUUCAAUUUCACUAUUCAAUUAAAUAUAAAAUUUAUUUGGUAUUUGAAUUUUAAUCCAUAUUGUUUUAAUUGCUAUUUUCUUGAAUCAUUUUGUAUAAUUAAUUUUUUUUCAAUUUUAUCAUUCAAUAUUUGAUUGAUUGAGAAUUAUACUUUGUUGUACAUCAAAUAUGGUGUUUCGAGGUCUAAUGAUCCAAGUUAUGAAUUUGAAAAAUUAAUAUUUUUUUUUAAAAGAGCUUUAUGAUUCUCUUUAUUUUUUAUCAGAUUAUUCUAAUUUCAUAAUCUAGGUCACGGGUUUGGCAAAAUAUCAUGAGUUGACUCGGACUUGAUUAUUGACGUUACAGGUUUGUCAUGCUAACUCGGGUUAACCAGGACCCCUUUUUAUGUCAUUUUCUUAUCCCAUUUUUUUCUUCCAUAUUUAAUGGGUUGUGAAUUGAGAUAUAUCAUUUAUCCCUUUUUGAAAAAAAAUAUUUAGGUUAUCCUAAUCACUUUGGUUUUUAAAUUUGGUCCAUCUAUUGUCUUUCUUUUUGUCAAUUUGAAUUAAAGCCAUCUUAUCCAACCUAGUUAAGUCUAUAACCCGAGUCACAUAUUUUUUUUGUCUUUUAAAACACAAUUACGGUAGUUGAACAUUAUUUUUUGCGCAAAACAAAAUAGUUUGGCCCUAUGGAAAAGCACAUACAUGAAUUAUAGUUAACAUUUACUAAAAAAAACUUGACUUUUCACUGUAUAAAUGAAUAAUAAAAUGUUAAGCAUGUUUCACCUUGCUCCUUAAGACUUUUAGGCAUUUUUUAAAUAAAAUUAAAACUUUUUUUUUCUUUCAAUUUCAUCCUCCAACAUUAGGCUUACAAGAUACUGGAUUUCAUAAUUUAUUUUGAUUUACUUUAUAUGAAGUUAUCCAGAUCUCAUGACCCAAGUCACUAGUUUUACAAGUUAGCCGUGUUGACUAAUGUUAUUUUUUUGUCAUUUUUUAAUUAAUUUUUUUUCAACUUCAUCAUUCAAAAUUAGGUUGAUUGAGAAUUAAUCUUCAUAAUUAUUUUUUAUUUGAUUUAUAUGGGGUUAUCAUGGUCUCAUGACCUAGAUUGCAAGUUUUGCAAGUUAGUUAUGUUGACUUAAGUUUUUUUUUUUUUCAUUUUAAAUUGAAUAAUUUUAUUCCAAUUUCAUCAUUUAAUAUUUGGUUAAUUGAGAAUUUGACUUUAUAUUUUUAUUUUAUUUUCUUUUUGCGGAGUUAUUUUGGUCUCCAAACCCUGGUUUGACUUGGGUUAAUUUUUUUAUUAUUUUUAUUUUAUUUAAUCCUUCAAUAUUGGGUUGAUAGGAGAUUGAACUUUUUCAUAUUUUUUUAUAUGUUUUCUAUAAGGUUAUUAUAGGUUGGACCAGUUGACUAAGGUUGUUUUUGUCCUCUUUUAGUUUUUGUUUUUUAAUAUCAUUCUUUAAUAUUGGAUUAGUUGGGAAUUAGGCCUCACAAUUAAUUUUUUUUUGUUUUCUAUAAGGUUAUUCUAGUCUUAUAAUGCGAGUCACGGGUUUGGUCAGUUGACUCAGGGGUUUUUUUAUGUCUCUUUUUUAAUUGAUCUUUUAAUUUCAUCCUUAAACAUUGAGUUGAUUGAGAAUUGAGAUUUAUAAUUUAUUAUGAUUUUUUUCUAUGACAUUAUCCUAAUCUCAUUAUCCAUGUUUGAUAGGUUAACCCGUAUUGACUUAACUUAUGAUUUUAUUUGAGUUUUGUUUUUAAUUUUAUCUUUUAAUAUUGGGUUUAUUUUUCUUUUAUUUGCUUUCUGUAGGAUUUGGCAAGUUAAUCCAAAUUAAUUUGAAUCGAUGUAAUAUGUUUUCCUUUCAAUAUUUUAAAGAGAUGUCAUCUUGAUUCUUUUUAACUCAAACUAUAUUUUAGUGGUCAUUCGAGUACUCUUUGGAUCUGCCAAGUUGACCAGGUCACAUUAGAUCAAUAUCUAUAUAGUUAAAAAUAAUAAUUAAAAAGACAUUAACAACUAUUGGAUUUUUUUUAUGUUAAAAAAAUUGAUCUGACUUGCAGCAUAGUGCAAACAAUUAUCUAAUAAAACUAAACUAAAAUAUUUGAAAGAAAAAAAAAAGGAAUCAAGCAUGCUACUGUUGUAACCCAUUUUUGGGUCCCCACAUAUAAAAUAAUAAAAUACAAAAAAAAUUCAAAAAAAAUAUAUUACAAAAAAAAUAUAACAGUGAAAAAUGCCAGAGCGCCAUAAACAUGCUAAAAAAAAAUUGUUUGAGGAUUUUCAAAAAUAUAAAAAUUAUUUUUUGACAGUAUAUCAUUAACUGAUGAGAGCCCCGAUGAUAAAGAAAAUUCAAUUUGUGGAAGAAAAAUGCAAAAUCAGAAGUUUAUGGACUCAAUUAAAUUUUAUUGAAGGUUUAAUUGAAUUUAUGGAGAUUUUAAUUGCAACAAAAUUGAUUUUGGAGUUAAUUUGGGCUUUAAUUAGAAGAAAUUAAUUUUCUGGGGUCAAAUUAUAAUUUUUGGAAGUUAAAUUGGUCAAAUCAGGGGCUUAAUUGCAUAAAAAUUGAGGUUUAAUGGCCAAUUAGGGACUGAAUUGAAGAAAUCCGAGACCAAGGACUAAAUUGUAAAACGCGCGCAAAUGGAGGGCCGAAAUUUGAAUCUGAUCUUUUGGCGCCUUUUUCCUUUUAAAUGAAACGGCGCGUUUUGACCAAAACGGCGCCGUUUCAUUCACUGUUGAAAAAAAAAAAAAAAAAAAACAGAAGCCCAAAACGGUGCCGUUUUGACGGCACUGUAGCUCUUCUUCUUCCCCUGGACACACGAGGCAGGGGAAGAAGAAGAUUUUUUUCUUCCCCUUUUCGCCUAAUUACUUUCCCUCUUUUGCUCAAAAAGACGCCGAAACAAGGACACCACUUGCCGACCACUUUCCACGCGUUGGACGGGCGUUGGACGGGCGGCAGCACACCGGCCACCACCAUGACGUCCCCCCCCCCUUUUUCGCCUAUAAAAACAGGGGAGGAAGAGGAGAAAAAAGAGACAGCAGAGGGGAGAAGGAAGAGAGAAGGAAGAGAGAAAAGAAGAGAGAAGAGAAGAAAAGAAAAGAAAAAAAAAAAAACAGAAACAGAAGAAAAGAAAAAAAAAACAGAGGAAGAAGGAGAAGAAAACCCGCCGGCCACUGCGCCUCCGCCACCGUCGCCGCCAGCAGCACCGCCACGACGCCACCACAGGUAAACAACCUCUGCCCCGUCUCCUUCGCCCUUUGCAACUGCCUUCUUUAUUUUCAUGCAGAACGUGAAUUAAUUCACGUUCUGCAACUGAUGAGAGGCUGGUUACUGUGCUUAUGCACAGUAACCAGCCCAUUUAGUUUUGGGCCGGUUCGGCCCAGCCCACUGAAAUGGGUCGGGUCCGGCCCAUUUCAAUUUUUUUAUUUUUAUUUUUAUUUUUUACAAUUUUUCCAGCACAUGUUUUUAUCAAUUUUGCUUAAUAUCGGUCUGUAUUUUACAUCGUAAAAACAUAAAUUCGGUAUUAAAAUACCCGGUUUUCGUUACGGUACUGUUCACACAGCAUAAAAAAAAAAUCAAAAAUAUUUGUUUCAGCAUUUUAUAAUUUUUCCGCGUAGUUUUUUUAUGCCAUUUUGAUUAAUAUCGGGCAGUAUGUUUACAUCGUAAAAAUAUAAAUCCGGUAUUAAAAUACCCGUUUUUCGGCAAAAACUUCCAAAAAUAAAAAUAAAAAAAAAUUGAAAAAAAAAAUAAUAAAAAAUGUUUUUGUGCAUACGGCCAAGUGUCUCAAAUCUAAAAAAUCAUAUCGUAUUUUGCAUGUCAAAAAAAAAUAAUAUUUUUAGCAUGCAUUUUGACUUUAAUAACCAGUUUAUUAAAGUCAAGAGAACAUUGGCCAAAAUCUCAAAAACAACAAAAUAUUUUAUUUUGUUUGAUUUUAGUAUCAGAGAUUAUGAAUUUAUACGUAAAUCGUAUUCCUGAUAUUAAAAAGAUAUUUUCUUUUGACGACUUCGAAUAGUUAGUUUUUUACCCGAUAAAGAUAAGGAUCUCCUUACAGAGGAGGACUUUUCUUAAACCGUAAACGAACCAACAAUUCAAAAACCACAACACGAUUUUAGAUUUUAUCAGACAUUAAAACAAUGCAGCCUACCUUAGGUAGGGCGUAGUUGGGGUGCUAAUACCUUCCCUUUACGCAACCAGUCUCCGUACCCGAUCUCUAAAGACCAGUUAAGGUUCCUAGUAACCAGAAAACUAGGUGGCGACUCCCAGUCCAUAUUUUCACAUAUAGAGACAAGAAUUCCUUGUCUCUCCCUUAUUUUCCAGGAAUAAAUUAUUCCGAUUUUUCCUUGAGGGUGGACGAUCGCCGCGCCGCCGCACACGUGCGACACUACUAUGCAUGCAAAUUCAUAUGUAUUAUGGAUUGUUUUUUUGUCAUUCAACUUUCUUUAUUCACAAUCACAUCCUUUCAAGUUUUAUUAUCAUUGUUUUAUCGGUUAAAAAAAUCUUUUCCUUUUGCAUGUUAUUAUAUAUGCAAGGUAAGAGGAAUGAUCCCAUGUCAAAUUAAAGAUUGAAUUUUCAAAAAAGAAUCUUAGAUUGUAGUUUUUUAAAAAAUCCAAAUAACAAGAAAAAAAAACAAUGUCCAAUGUUGAAAAAGGCAUGAAAAACCUUAGUUUAGUUUUAAAAGUUUGAGUUCAUGUAUUUAUUUGGUCCCUUAAGUUUUAUGAUUUUACAUUUCAAUCCCUAUGUGUGUUGCUACCUAAUUUUUGACCCAUAUUUUUUAUAAAUUUUAAAAAAAUAAUAAUAAAACAAUAGCAAAAAAACACCUAAAAAAUGUAUUUUUGAUAUAUUUGCAUCGUUUUUAGCAUUUUCAACGUCAUCUCAAAAGAAUUUAAAGUUUUAAAUGUAUUUUAAACAUGUUUCUCAACACGUAAAUUUUAUGAUCACUGAAUUUAAUUUGUAAGAUUUGUGACUCAUUAUUUUAAUAAAUUUUAAAAAAAUAAAAUAUUAAUAAGUUAUUUUCAUCUUAUUUUCCAUGACAUAACCAAAUACUGGAAAAUAUUUUAUAACUUAUUUUUCAUUACAUUAUUAAAUAUAAAAAAAUAAUUUAGUUUUCCUAAAAUUCACUUAAAAAAAAAAAUUUAACAAAUAAACGGAUCUUAUAAUAAAGAAUUGCACAUUUUGAGUAACAGUUAUUAAAGUAGCCCAAACAGGCACAAAGCCCAACUCACUGCCUUCCACACCACGCCUUCAUCUCCAGCCCCUUACUCUCCCAAUCCCAAGUCUUCAAGGACGGCCAGCACUUCGCUGUUCUAAACCCAACGAGAAAGCGAGCUCACGAACACACAGUGAGAAAGAUAUAAAGAUGGCAAGGAGGCGGCUAUUAUUGAUGUUAAAACCUUUUGAUGUUUACCAAUUUGGCCAAUCAAAUGGUGGCUCUUCCAUCACCAAUUCUCAGGUAACAACCAUAUGAACAUUAUAGUAGUACCACCACCACUUUUACUCUCUAUAUUUUUUUUUACAGAAUAUUCAGAGCUCACUCACUACUCAUGGUUUCUUCACUUCAACCCUCUUAAAUAUUAGCCAUUUCUUUUUGGGUUCUUCUCCCUUGUCUCAUUUUCAUUUUUGUCUUAUGUUUUAACAUUUGGCUUAACAUUGAUGAAGGUACUCUGUUUGAUAAAAUGUCAAAGUUGAUAUUAGCGUUUUUUGGAUUGUAUUAUUUUCAUUGAGUUUGACAUUUACUGCUCAUAUUUAGCUAUUAUAUCUGUAAUAGUAGAUGACUAUAAAUCAAAAUACUUAAUUUUUAUGUUUCAAUGGAGGAAUUUGGUUCCUUCUCAAAUUUGAUGGCUGCUUGCUAGAAAUUUUGUUGGUUAAGGAAUGUUUGAAGGGACCAUUUGAUCUAAAGUCUCAGCCUCUUUUUUUGGUCAUUUUCUGUUUUUACCAAUCAUGUAAAGGUUUCUUCGAUGUUUCUUACUCAAUUUUGUGUUGCAAUUAUUUCAGGCUUUUCGUUAUCUAGAUAACAGGCGUAGGGUUCACAAGGAUGCUAUAAACUACUGUCAGGUUAGUUUAUUUGUCAGGCUGAGCUUAGAUUUGUGUUCGUUAUGUCUGUAAGGAUUUAUUUAGAUUCUCUUCUUUUUUUUCCCUUGAUGUUAAGGUGUGUUCUAGAUGUCCAAUUACAGCAUGCUCUUUGGUGUAGGUGGAGAAAUUCAGUAAUGAAUUUGAUGCUACUAGAAGCACUGGCUACCUAUGUGCAGCAACUGUCCAUAAAGCACUCACCUCUUAGAGAGCACUUGAUCACAGAUUGGACAGGCUGCAUCAUUAUUAAGGAUCUUGUUUGCAUCUUCAGUGCCUGUUUAUUCUGUUAAGGGACAAUAUGCGAAAGCAACAGUAAUCCAGAAAGCAUAGAACUAAAAAAGUGAAGAAUGACAAUCCACGCAACUUCUUUCACAACAUUCGUUUUUUUUUUUUUUUUUACGAAACUGGCCCAUCUUUAUGGGGUCAUUUAUUUUCUCAACAUCAAAAUGUUUAAGUUGUCAUUAUAGUCCUUGUUCACAGGCUUUCUUUUGAAUCUAAUCGAGAGAAGUUUACAAAAACAAAAAAACAAAAAAAAGCAAGUUGAAGGUAGAGUAAAGAUUUUUUAGAUUUCCUAGUCGAAAUUCAGGAAGCACCAUCCGAAAUUCAUAUGCCUCAUAAGCUAAAUAUAGCUGUAACAACACAUGCACAUGAAAAAUAUAUAAUAUUUAAUGUGCGAAGAGGGAAUUCCCAUGUGAUUAUUUUUUAUUCGGUUUGAUUUUUAUCAAAUCAAAUAAUUAAAUUGGUUUUUUUAAAAUAAAAUUCGGUUCAAAUUGAUUUAGGUUUGACUUGGUUUUUUCGGUUUAGUUUUUUCGUUUUCAGACUUAUCAAACCGAAACCAAACCGAACUGGUCGGUUUUUAAAAAAUUCUAAUCGGUUUUUUUCACGGUUUGGUUUUUUCGGUUAUUUUUUUUCCUGAUUUUCUCGGUUUAGUCAAAUUUUCAGUUUUUUGCUGACCCCUAAUUUUUAUUCUCUAAAUAUAUGAUAAUUAUCUCUUUAAGAGGUUUCCAAUAUCUUUAAAUAAGUCAUGAAACCUACCUUAUCACAAAACAACUACGAAUAUAAAAGCAUGUAAAAAGUUAAAAAUAUAAAUUUAACAACAAAGCUUAAAACACUGAGAAAAAAAAUUAUUAUAUAUAAACCUAAUAUUUAAAUCUUUUUUAAAAAAUAUCUUCAUGAAAUAUUAAAUGAGAAUAAAUUAUCUAUUUUUUAUUUUAAUAAUAGUUUUUUACAUGUUUUUCUCAUAUUAAUUUUGAUUUUAUCACACAUAAAUAAAUAAUUGAGUCAUGAUAAUUUUUUAUGUUUAUAAUCAAAAGUUGCUUUUCAAAUCAUUAUAAACUUUUAUUAAAAAACAAUGCUUUUUUAUAUAUAAUAAAAAACAUGUUUUCAUCAAAUUAAAUAAGACAAAAAAAAUACAUUUUUCCUCCUAACUUCAAGUGAUUUAAAUUUUAAAGAAUAUUUAUUUUAGUUUUUUUCUCACAAAAACAUGCUACUAAAAAAGACAUAAUUUUGCUAAAAUAAAAUAAAAAUGUAUGAAUAAGGAAGGAAAAAAUUGCUGCCCGAAUUGAUAUCAAUCACAUCUCUUGGAAAUAAAAAAUCAUGAAUCAUAAUUAAAUAAGCGCAAUUGAUAGUUUCAAAAGAUCAAGACAUAAUCACCUCGUUAGUGCUUUUGCUUAUAAUUUAUUAUAUUAUUAUGAUUUUGGUAAAAUCAUUAACUUACAAUGACAUAAAUCCAUCGAUUAAAAAAAAUUACAAACACACGACGAAAAAAAAAUAAAAAACAGCUGCACGCUCCUGGAAGAUGAUCCCCUCUUCUUGACUUACCUUCUCACACCGCCCUGAGUAGCUAGUAUCGUCUUCCACCAUUUCUGGGAGCAUUCUUCCUUCUAAGCCUUUUUGCAUUUUGAUGUGCACUAUCUUCAACCAUCUUCACAAACCAUGCAGGUUUUCUUGCUCUAAAUACAACGUAUCCUAUAGAGACUUCAAAUACAAAUCCACAUCCAUAACCCAUUGCUACAGCUUUCCAUCCAAAUCCCUCUUCAAACAUUGAAUCUUCUUUCUCGAAGUUUGACGGAGGCGGUUGUUGCCCCUCACCUUUGUUGCAUUUUACUUGCAAGGGAAACCCGCAUAAUCCCAAGUUCCCUUCGUAUGAACCAUUUUCAAAUGUGUUGAACUGCUUACCUUGAGGUAUGGGUCCCUCAAGAUGGUUAUACGAAAGGUUUAGGACUUGAAGAAAUGUUAAAUAUACCAAUUGCGGUGGAAUCCUUCCAGCAAGCAAAUUUGAGGAGAGAUCCAGCGAUUCCAGAUUAGUUAAAUUCCCCAGUGAUGGCUGGAUAUAACCGAUGAGGCUGUUGUGAGAAAGGUUGAGCUGUAUCAGAGAUUUAAGCUUCCCGAGGGACUCUGGAAUCUUUCCCGUGAAUUUAUUGCAGGAUAAAUCAAGUGUUGUGAGGGCACCAAGAAUUUGAGAAAACUCAAUCUCCAAACCUUUCCAUGCCAACGUUACAGAAUAAACAUAAGAAAUAGAUACAUUGUUUGUCCUCAUGUAAUCCAUAUCCUGAUCAACGUUCAUCAUGGCUUUGAAGUUGUUGAAAUACUCUGUUGGCAAAGGACCACUCAAGCUGUUGUUGGAGAGGUCAAAUAUCUGUAAUUUAGAAAAAGAGUCCUUGACAGUUGGACCCUUCAAAGAACCAUGGAGUUUAUUUGACCUUAGAACAACAACCUCCAACUGUGGAAGCGUUUCUAAAAAGGAAGGGAAUGUGUCAUCAAUCAUGUUGUUACCGAGGUCUAGAAAUUCUAAAUUCACACAAUUGAUGAUGGAUGGUGGUAUCACCCCUUUCAAUUGGUUGCCAUUGAAGUUGAGAUAACUCAAACUGUUCCCCUCUGAAUAGAUUGAAGGGAUAUUGCCGUGGAGAUUGUUGGCACCAAGAUGCAACACUGAGAGUCCAUCACUGAAGUUUCCAAGCAUUGCGGGAUGAUCCACUAAAGCUAUUUGUUGGACAGUCUGAAUCUCUAGAACUUCAGCUCAAAAUGACAGAGGAGAUGUUCCCAGUCAGUUUAUCAUUGGAGGAAAGCAUAAGAGUUGUCAAAUCUCAAGCUUGAAAACUGAAGGUGGAAUCUGGCCAUACAACCUGUUGUGACUGAAAUCGAUAUAUUGUAAUGAAUUACAAAGGAACGGACUUAUCUGGCCAUACAGUAGGUUAUUGUGAAGAAAAAGAGCCCGCAAAGAAGGCAUAGAAAACAAGGUGGAUGGAAUUGUUCCAUUGAGCAAGUUAUGAGAUAAGUCGAGAGAGUCUAAACUUGGAAGCCUACUUAUUUGUGAUGAGAUGCUUCCUAUCAGCUGAUUAUUAGAUAAAGAGAGAUAGUUCAAACCUGAAAGCCUACUUAUUUGUGAUGGGAUGCUUCCUAUCAGCUGAUUAUUAGAUAAAGAGAGAUAGUUCAAACCUGAAAGCCUACUUAUUUGUGAUGGGAUGCUUCCUAUCAGCUGAUUAUUAGAUAAGUCGAGAGAGUCUAAACCUGGAAGCCUACUUAUUUGUGAUGGGAUGCUUCCUAUCAGCUGAUUAUUAGAUAAAGAGAGAUAGUUCAAACCUGAAAGCCUACUUAUUUGUGAUGGGAUGCGUCCUAUCAUUAUAUUGUUUGAGAGGUCCAACAAAAUAAGUUGGGUGAGGUUAAAAAAUUCAUUCGGAAUGGGACCAUCAAACUUGUUAUUUGAGAGGUCCAACUUAGUAAGUUGUGUGAGGUUAAAAAAACAAUAUGGAAUUUUACCAUAAAAAUUAUUGGAAGAAAGUAUCAAGGAAUCUAGUUGCUUAAGGUUUCCAAGUGAGGAUGGAAUCUGACCAUCAAACUUGUUGUUUGAAAGGUCCAACAUAGUGAGUUGUGUGAAGUUAUAAAAACUAUAAGGAAUUUUACUAGAAAAAUUAUUGAAAGAAAGUAUUAAAAAAUCAGCUUCUUAAGGUUUCUAAGUGAGAAUGGGAAAUGACCUUGAAAAUUGUUACCUGAUAGGUCCAACCACGCCAAUUGCGUUUGAUUAACAAAAACAUCAGGAAUUGGACCAGCAAAAUUAUUGUAUCGAAGAUCCAAGUACUCCAGUUGCUUAAGUUUUCCAAACGAGAGAGGGAUUUGACCAACCAACUGGCUUUCUGCAAGUGUCAACUCAAUGAGUUGCGUGAGGUUACCAAGUAGACCUAGAUUGGAGCCAACAAAAUUGCACCCUUCAAGAUGCAUCACUUCCACAGACUUCAGAUGACUGAUUGAAUCUGGUUCCAAAUGUAUUGAAAUCCGCGUCUGUGACAGAUCCAAAUGCGAAAGAGCAUUGCUGAAACUGUAUGGCGGAAAAGAGACAGUGAGUUCUCUGUUGGCCCAUAAAUCGAGCGAUUGAAGGUUUGAUAGGCGAGAGAAAUUAGCUGGGUACCACCAAAGUAGAGUUCUCUCAGCUGGGUAAGGUUCUGAGCAAGCUUGUUGAAAGAAAUCGGUUCCAGCAUCAGCUCCCCAGUCUGGAUAAAUGGGAGAUUUCUGGGGGAACUUGUCCUGCAAAAUUCGAUGAAUUUAGAUUUAAAUGCGUCAAAUGCAGGAACUGACCAAAGGAAGAUGAAAUGACAGAGCCAAUGAAGUCAUUGCGAGAGAGAUCGAGCUUCUGAAGACGAUGAAGGGAGAAGAGAGUGCUGUUAGAAUGGAGGGUGCCAUUAAGCAUGCUGCAACCAAGGUCUAGGCCAAUUAAAAUGGCCAGUUUGCUUGUUGCAUGUCACGCCUCCCAAGAGCAGCAAUCUGUACCCUCUUUCCACAGCACUCUCUUGGGUGGAUAACAUGGAAAUCCAUAUGGUGAAGGCAUCAUGGAAAAGGAGUUUUUGAAUUGGAGCAAAGCCAGGCUCUGGUCACCGGGGCAUAAUUGUACUGAAGAGGAGAAAUUGGAAGAAGAAUGAGCAGGUUGGGAGUGCGAAUGGAAGAAAAGAAGGCAGAGAAAUUGAGCGAGCAACAAUGAAGAUCCCAUCAUUCCCUAAAAGUGCUCUUCUUAGAGAUGAAAAUGUG
rnacentral:lncRNA from 1 species